GCGGGCGUAGUUCAGUUGGUAGAACGCUUCCUUGCCAAGGAAGAGGUCGGCGGUUCGAACCCGCUCGCCCGCUCCA
rnacentral:tRNA from 1 species